rnacentral:lncRNA from 1 species
AGCCAAACAUAGUAACAGGAGAACAGUGGUUGCCAUGGGCUGGAAGGAGGGGCCCAUGGAGUGUUAUUAUUUAAUAGUUUCAGAGUUUCAGUUUUACAACAUGAGAAAGAAUCUUGGAGCUCAAUGGUUGUGGUGAUAGCACAACGAAAUCAUUGUACUCAAUACCACUGAACUGGCACUUAAAAGAGGUCACGAUAAGUUCUAUGUUAUGUGUAAUUUACCAUAACAUAAAAAUAAAAAUAAAUUUUAAAUGUGAAAAUAAACAAAAUAAGACUUUGUAUACCUUGUUUUCAUGUAUUUUACUAUUUGAGGAAAGUAAGAACCAGUGGCAGCCUGGACAUUUAGUCUUGCCAUUACUGUUAUUAUUAUUGUAUUAGUCAACCAAAAUUGAGGCUCUGUGGUGGACUAGGGCUAGACACAGAACAUUAUCCUGGGAACAUAACACCUUUUCAUGGCAUUCCUUCAGCUUGUUCUUCCAAAUACUCCAAGAAGAAGAGUAAAAGUCAUGGACACUAUGAUCGUUUCUAUCCACAACAAAAUGUGUUCAUCACCCAGUCUCUGCUUUGCCAGUUGGCUGACCAUGACCACCUGCAUAUUUGAUGUAGGAAGGAUGCUACAAAAGUGAGAUGUUCCAUGCAUGUUCUGAACACCCUUCCUGGUGCCCAGAGCCUUCCUAAAACAUGACCACAAAUCAGCACAGAGAGAAUUCCAGUGAGGCUUUUGGAGGCCAUGGCUGAAGAUCAAAAGUCUUUGAGUUUAGUUAUGUAUUAUCAGGAAAGACUUUCCUCUCAUCCUAGAGAUGCAUAGCUCUUAAGCAACAAUGGGGUAGCAGAAAGAAAACAGGCAUUGAAGCAUGCGAGGCUAGAAGUCAAAACCCAGCUCCCCCACCUACUGGGUGUGAGACUUUGGGGAACUCAAUGCAUCUGGGCCUCAAUAAAGUAGCAAAAUAAUUUCUUCCUUAAGGGAUUGUUGUGGAAAUCAAUGAGGUGUUAUGAAUAAAGCACCUGGUCCACUGCCCAGCUCAUAGCAGAUGCUCACUAAAUAAGAACAUAGAUGAGGAGGAGGAAGAGAGUAGCCUAUGAAGUCCCUAGCCUGAAGAGGCAGCGGAGGAUGAAGACAUGUAAAGUGGAUGAAUCUAAGACUUGGCUUUCUCAUCAGACAGGAAUCAAUGUUGCUCAAUGCUCCUAGGCUGUAGUGGACAGUUACCGCUGGUCUGCCCAGCACACCUCCCUCUUUCUGGAAACAGCAAUCCCUUAUCUAAAGAUCAUGGUGCCUCUCCUCUCCAAACAUAGACUCUAGUCAAGUUGGCCAGUCCUAUUCCCAUCCCUGCAGGGCAUGCAAGGGACCAUGUGAUCCAGCCAGAACAAUCAGAGUCCUUCUCCAGGGUUUUCCAAAGUGUACCUAAGAUAAGAGAGUCUUUUCAGAGUUCCCUUUGUGGCACAGCAGAAAUGAAUCCGACUAGUAACCAUGAGGUUGCGGCUUUGAUCCCUGACCUCGCUCAGUGGGUUAAGGAUCCGGCAUUGCCGUGACCUGUGGUAUAGGUCUCAGACAGGGCUCAGGCUCUGCGUUGCUGUGGCUGUGGCAUGGGCCAGCAGCUGUAGCUCCGAUUAGACCCCUAGCCUGGAAACUUCCAUAUGCUGCAGGUGUGGCCCUGAAAAAAGCAAAAAAAAAAAAAAAAAAAAAGAGAGAGAGAGAUAAUUUAGACUUGCCCUCCAAGAAAUAUGGUCUUUACAGAAAAUAUCUGAAAGAGUUUGGUGCCCUAGUUGCCCUAAAAACUCAGUUGUUUGUUUACUUGCCUCUUUCUUCCAGUAGCCCUUAGGCUCCUCAAAACUAUGGAUCUCAUUUUACCUACAUUUACCACACACUAAGUGCUCAAGGAAUGUUUGCUGAAAUAAAAUUAAAUAAACAUCUGGAACAAAGGGAAACUAUGACACAUGUAAUAGCAAACUCAUACACUCUUCACAGGCACAGAAUGGUUUGAUUUAGCGUUUACCACCCUCCCCCAUUUAACUGGGUCUAAAAUAUGUGGAAAUCACACUAUUUAUCCACAAAAUAGUUAUGCUAUGCCCCCUCACACACACACACACACACACACACACACACACACACACACACACACACAGGCAAGAGCUCAAUGAAGCGUCUCCUGGCUGGGAAGGGAGAAAGAAGAUAAACAGCCAACUCUGAAGGCUUUUGAAGCUGGCCUAUCAACAAAGGAUCUUCUAAAUCAAUUCCCCAGCAGAAACGGAAUGCAGGCGCUUCUCAGAAAUGUCUCACAAAGAAGCACAGAGAAAGGCUCUCUGAAGGCGGAAGCAGGAGAUGUUUCCAUCCUAAAGAUGGAAAUUGAGGAUGGGCAGAAAGCCCCUGCCAGAAAAUCUUCCCUGGGGUCAGCAGGGCCUCGUGGCUCCGGGACCACUUCAGCACCAGCCAUUCCAAGACGGUCAGAACACUUUCUCUGGGUCACACGGGUAAGUUUUCAUUCAUUCCAGCCAUGAAAGUUCAAUUUCCCAGAUCCCCUCCCCCAGGCUCCCUACCCUUUUUGCCAGCUCCUGGCCCACCAAGCGGUGACCGCCAGCAGAGGAACAAGGAGCAUUGAGAGGCACCAAGUUGAGCAUCUGCCAACACCAUCUGCAAAUUCUGCAGAUGGAGGGGACAGAGACAGCCUCAAACCCCACUGAAUCUAAAGAGCAGGGAUGUCAGAGGGAGACUGAUGGCAUCAGCUGGACCUCCCUGGGACCUAGGGGACUCUGUGUAUCCACUUAGCUUUUCAGAGCCCAAAAUAUGAUCCUGCCCACGUGCCUUAAGUUGAUCAAGCUCUUAAAAAUUCAUGUUCCAACUAAUCUCAUGAGACUGAUGUAUAAACAAAAUGUUUUUUUUUUUUAAUAGACUAUUUUUAAGGCAGCUUUAGGUUGGUAGCCAAAUUGAGUGGGGAAAAAAUGGCAUUUUAUAAUUCAUAACUGGGUUCAAUAAACAUGCUUUGAGCUUCUACAAUGGGCCAUGUGCUAUUUGAAAAGGUAUCAAAUAAAACGGCAAUCUCCUGACACCAAGUUGCUCACAGUGAGCAAAAGGGCAAAAUAAACAGAUGAUUACAAGAUAGGGUAAUAAGCAUUAGGACAAAGGUAGACAGAGAAUGUUACAGUAACCCAAAAGAUAGACUCCGAGUUCAUGCUGAGGGGUCUGGGAGACACAAUGCCUUUGUUAGGUUUUGAAGACUGAUAAGAGUUUUCCAAGUGAGUGAGGAGUUUUCAGGACAUUCCAGUCUGGGAAAAUUUCAUGUUGUUAUGAACUCUCCUUUCCCAAGCCCAAGGCCAAAACAGUCUUAACAAAAAGCCCCUGCAGUUACUUUCUCUGAAAGCAAGAAGUCUUCUAUGUCCAUCUUUAAAUUUCUGCUCUAAUUUUUUUAAACUUCUUCCUAUUUCUCUUAUUUCCACAGUAGAUUCAACCUCCUUUCAGCCCUUUCAGGUGGAUGGUCCUUUGGAUGGUUUCCACACUUUGACUCAGUUUCUGCAUCAGAUGCUGCCUCUCUCAUCACCCCUCUCUGCCCUACCAAUGGAACACUGGAUGUGAUGUGCUAUCUUCCAGGGCAGUACUCCUGAAUCCGGGGCUCCCUGAUGUUCGCCGGCUUGGCCACAGGGAGAAUGGACCACCACAGGCAGUGGGAGCAAUGUGCAAUAUCAAAAUGACUUCUAUCAAGAGUCCUCUGCUCCACCCAGAUCCCCCAGUCAGGUAUUAGCAGAUGCCUAGAGGACACAGGUUCCAAGCCCACAGAAUUUAAGAUCCUAAAAUGUGACCUCCAGGUCAGAGCCAAAGCCCCAUAACAUAUAUUAUCUUCCCAAAAAGGGAGGAGAUAGGAGAGUGAAUUCUCAACACACCUGAGGACACACACUGAUCGUAAUUCACUUUGAAUACUUCUAAUGUUUGUUAAGUGAACAGAUCUAAGGACUAUCCCCCAAGAUCUUUUCUUAUGAAGACAACCAAGCUCAGCCAUUCUGCACUGAUGUGUUUAGGUGUUCCUCUCAAAAGGUGACCUUUUUAUAAAUUUUGAGAACCUCCUAUCAUUAUGUCCUACCCUCCCCCACUUCAACACAAUUAAAAGGAGGCAUUUCACCAAUGAUCUUGGUAGCUUCCUCCCAUUCCUUCUCAUUUUCCCAGAGUUAAGUCCUUUUUCAAAGCCAGCCUUUGCCUCAGCCCAUCUUUAUGCCCAUCUGGAAACACAGCUGGCUUUUUCCAUGAAAUAGAGUUUCCUUUCCCUAUCUGGAUCAUGUUAAGCCAGGAGAGCAGGAGCCACAGCCUCAGAUUUUGUGGGAUUAAUGCAACAUGGCAUGAGUCACUGAGCCUCUCCACAAAAUUGAGGGAAAUAGGAGUUCCAGCUGUGGCACAGUGGGUUAAGACCUGUCAUGGCUCAGAGGAAACAAAUCUGACUAGCAUCCAUGAGGAUACAGGUUCAAUCCCUGGCCUCACUCAGUGGGUUAAGGAUCUGGCAUUGCUGUGAGCCAUAGUGUAGGUCAAAGAUGUGGCUCAGAUCUCACGUUGCUGUGGCUGUGUCGUAGGCCAGCAACCUCAGCUCCAAUUCAACCCCUAGCCUGGGAACAUACAUAUGCCAUAACUGUGGCACUUAAAAAAAAUAAUAAAGACAAAAGGGAAAAAAAAUACAACCACAGUAGCUAGGGUUGCUACGGAGGCAAGGGUUCAAUCCCUGACCUGGUGCAGUAGGUUAAAGGAUCCAGCACUGAUUCAAUCCCUGGCCCAGGAACUUGCCAGUAAUACAGGUGUGGCCAUAAAAAUAAAUAAAUAAAUACAUAUUUUUUUAAUUGGGGGAAAUAAUAGAACCAACCUCAGAGGGUCCAUGGGAGCAUUACAUGAAAUGAUGUGUAGAAAAUCCCCAGCACAGCAUACAGUAAGUAUCCAAAACAUAUUUGUUAUUAAUACUGUAAUUAAUUAUCUCUGGAUUUUAGUUCUUU